GCCGGGCAAUGUGGUGUAUGCCUGUAAUCCCAGCUACUUGGGGGGCUGAGGCAGGAGAAUCACUCGAACCCAUGAGGCGGAGGUUGCAGUGAGCCGAGAUCAUGCCACUGCACUCUAGCCUGGGCAACAGAGUGAGAUCCUGUCUCAA
rnacentral:SRP_RNA from 1 species